CUGGGAGAAGGGUGUGACUUUACCUUGAGGUUCCGGAUGGCAGAGACCACGUCUCCCCCGGUAGUUCUUAAUGCUGCCUGGCACUCCUGGUGGGUGACUCCAUGCACACUUAGCUCUACCUGCAGGGAACAAAGCCUCACUCAGGCCCUUGCCCCAUUUCUAGGCCUUUCUGGACACCUGCCCAUUGCAGUGAGACUCCACUCACCUCCAUAAUCCUCCUCUGCCACUCAGGGUCAGGGAAGAGGCACCCAGAGGGGACAGUGGCUUUACUGGCUCCAGGAUCCACCCUAAAUGAGUAAGCACUUGCUGGAGGUACCCUCCCCGGACGCUGGGAAUGUAGGCAGAAACGGACACAGCCUGGCCCUAACAGGCUUCAACCCAGAACACAGGGGUGUUGAUGUUGGUCCAGAAGCUGCCAGACAUCUGGGCUGCUAUGGGAAGCUGCUGUCAUCUGCAUCUCUUGGAGGGAAAGCCCUUCUUGUAUUGGUAAACAACAG
rnacentral:lncRNA from 1 species